GGUUCGACUCGAGCGGAGCGAGAAGAACGUUGCGUCAGCAACGGCCCGAAGGGCGAGCCACGUAGUGGCGAGUUAUCCUCUAUCACCGACCA
rnacentral:sRNA from 1 species